CUAGUAGGCGGAAUGAUCANACUAGUAUGAGGAGGUUGAUNCUGGGUGAGGCUACUGCUAUUGGGGUUCGAUAUAUCAUGCAAGUCGAAGGAAUCUUUGCAAUCGUGGCUAACGGUUCAGUAACACGUGGAUAACCUACACUUAGGACUGGUAUAACCCUGGGAAACUGGGGACAAUCCCGGAUAGGUGAUUUUUUCUGUAAUGAUUUUUCAUUUAAAUGCUCUGGCGCCUGAGGAUGGGUCUGCGGCAGAUUAGGUAGCUGGCAGGGUAAUGUCCUACCAAGCCCGUGAUCUGUACGGGUUGUGAGAGCAAGAGCCCGGAUAUGGAACCUGAGACGAGGUUCCAGGCCCUACAGGGAGCACCAGGCGCGAAAACUCCGCAAUGCGAGAAAUCUCGACUGGGGGACCCCAAGUGCCACUCUUGACGGGGUGGCUUUUCUCAGAUGUAAAAAUCUUUUUUAAUAGGCCUGGUAUAAACCCGAGACAGCCGCCUCGAGAAUUCCGGUAACUUCUUGUGGGGAUCAAUCUUUUAUUUGGUCCUACAAGGUUCCGAGCCAGGUUGUAAAAUCUCUGGAGACAUCCAUGUANCCUUCUCGCUGGAAAUUGGCGCUAUCUUCNAUUGAACUUGAGGCUCGGAGAGGGUCACGGUCCCCCCAGGUAUGGGUUAAAUCUGAUAUCCUGUGGGACACCUGGGGACAAGGGGCUCAUGUAAAGAUUUGACGUGAGGUAGUAACCCGGGGUCAUACCGAAUUAAAACCGAGUUUCUGCUCAACUAAGGCCAUGUUCUGGGUGACUCAUCUGUUUACUCAAUGGCAGUUAGCUCCCACCAAAGUCUCCCAAAUUAACUAUAAUUCGGUGAACUACCACUUGGACGCGUAUAUCUUAUCGAAUUACUGGAUUG
rnacentral:rRNA from 1 species